CCCUGCCAUUUGUACACACCGCCCGUCGCUGCCCGGAACUGAGCCGUUUCGAGAAAGCCGGGGACUGACGACUUGUGGUGCGCAAGCACUUCUUGUCGACGGAAACCAGUUUGAUCGGUAUGGCUUGAACCGGGCAAAAGUCGUAACAAGGUU
rnacentral:rRNA from 1 species